UGCGUAGAAUCCAAAACAAUUCGUACUUUUUCGAUCAGACUUCUCAAUCAAAAGUUAUGGACAAAAAACCAAUUUCGAAAGAAAGUUCAAAGGGCUAUAACUUUUGAUGUAAGCCCAAUCGGAUUCUACACGCCAAAAUCUCAGGCAAGUCGAUUUUUAUUGAAAUAUCAGCGUGUUUAACUUACACCGAGUGAUAUGGAAAUAAAUAAAUCUAUGCUGGAAUACCUAUACUACUUAUAUCUGGGUUUUGGGACUUAGUGGGGGAGUUGUCGAACAUUUUUGGAACGAAAUGCACGAGUGCGUCGCACAGUUCCACAUCUAUUGCUUCUUCUUUUGAUAAUAUUCACUUGGAUUUUCAACCAUUUCCUGGAGAUGGGCCAUCGAAUGAUCGCGAUGCUGUCCGAGAGGUACCACGUUCUGGACUUUAGAAGAGGUUAACCACGUUUUCAUGUGUGAUCCCGAAUAAAAAAUGGAGCUGGUCAGUUCCACUCUUGAAUGGGAUACAGGUCUGUUCACUUGGAUUUUCACCUACUUCCUGGAGAUGGAAAGGUAGGCUAUCGAAUGAUCGCGACGCCGUCCGACAGACCUUCAGACCAAGUUUUCAUAUGUGAUCCUUAAAGAUGGAGGUGGCCGGUAUCACUCUGGAAAGGGAUAUAGGAUUAUGCUGUUCGAGGGGAGGGGAGUGAUUCCUAAUUUCACAUGGAGCCGUCAACCCCAGUUUGGAAAUUCUCUUACGGCCGAAUAAGUACAGUUCAGACGGGCAUACCAGGUAACCACUUCUUCUUGACAUACCAAUCUCCUCUCUGUGGAAGGUACAGCGACAGGUGCAGUAAGGAAACCACGUGCAUAGGAUUCUGGAAAGUUAAAGUCAGUUGUGAGUACACUCGACUAAGGUCUUGG